GAGAGAGAGAGAGAGAGAGAGAGAGAGAGAGAGAGAGAGAGAGAGACUAGCCUAGCCUAGCCUAGCCCGUAUUACAAGCAGGGCCUUCACCCAAAUGCAAAGCAAAACCCCUGCACGGAGUAUCCUGCCUCACCCUGUAGCCAGGCGGUGGCGCGGGUUGGUCACUACCUACGGAGCCCGAUGUACGAUAAUUUCCCGGCCUCUCCGCGUAUCAAAAACAUUUUCCGUGUUUUGAUUUCAGAGUUUAUGGCGGUGACAUUGUUGCGAUUACUUGGAGCGUGUGAUGGUACAUUAGUCUGUUGUUGUUGCUGUUGUUUUAAUUCUGUGAAUGGCCGCUUGUAAGGAGGAAUGGAGGAAAUAGCAAAAAUUACUAUUCACGCGGCAACAGUGGCAUCGUUCCCCAUAUACCCGUCAGAAAGGCAAAACGAGAGAGGCUGAAAUUUUAGUUGCGAAAGAACUCCCCGCACAUGUGUUCUAAGAAGAGUCGUAAAAAGACCAAUAUACGAAAAUCCGCAACUAACGCUGUCUUGGGGGCGUAAAACAGAAAUGUUAACUGGAAACAGGGAAAGUAAAAUAAGAAAAACUAGUAAGAACAAGAAACAGACCGGAAGAACGAAAGAAAAACGAAAACAGAAAAGAACAGGGAACGGCCCUCCCUUCCCCGCAAACGUCCAGCAUUAGAUAAUAGGACAUUCAUAGCACAAUGCGCAGUAUCCCGGGAAACAAGUAGAUUGGCGCUCUUCUAUUGCUCAAUCAUGACUGGCCAGAGCGCCAGGAACGUUUGCCAAUGGGACAACAGGGAUGGUGUUCCCAUUUUAAGGGGCUUGGCGCAUUUGCAGAUAUAAUCAAAUGAAGACCCCGCACAGCCAUUACCUGGAUUUAUACUCAUUUUUUAAACAUAGUAUUCCACCUGUGCGCGCCCCGAGCCCGCUUGGGUGUGCCAAUAUGCUUGCUGAAACGCCAACAUGCACCUCCCAGCUUCGUUAGGGUCGUGUCUAUAAUUUUCUGCACAAGUCUUGUUUACGAUAAGUUCUCCCGCUAGGAAAUGGCCAUAAUUCUUGCACACUUGGCUUGCAAUCUUUUGUCAAACUGCUUCAAAGAACGGGUAAUCUAGAGAGCUUUGCCAAGAACAACGUUAGCUUUAUAUGUCUCUCAGGAACUGGAAGAAAUGCAUCAACACAUUUCUUCAAUAAAUUAUAAUAUAAAUGACUGAAUCUUAUUAAGUAAGUUAAGUGAAAUACAGCUACAUUAAUAGACUCGGGAGUUAUUCACACAGAAGCAAAUACUAGAGAGAUUAGCAUAGCACUUACAAUUAAAAGAAUAAAAAUCAUACUAACAUCCAAUCACGUUUAUGCAGUCGGUCCCCAAUCUGUGCAACCCUCGAUCAGAUCAAGGGAACUCUCCCUAAUCCCUUAAACUCGCUCCGACUCAUAUUAACACGAGGUUAUGGUCGCAGGAGCAUAACUCAUCGGCAGUACCAGCUGAACCUUCAGGGCGUCGGGAAGAGUGACCGAAGCGACCCGCCCUUCCCGGACCUCCAAGGUGCUCGAGGAGGGGGGGGGGGAGGGGGCGGAGUGAGGUUGAAAUUUUCUGAUUGGCAGCCGAUGGUCCCAACAGAGUAGAGGAUUGCUUAUAACAGUACACUACCUUUAAAAUUGUGGGAAACUUAUGUCAGCCAAGAAGACUAACUUUAGAGGGCAAAGUAGUAAACUUUUCGAAUCAUAAGCAGCCGACUUAAAGCAAUACAGUAAACAGGAUUAGGGGCACAUCGAUUGGCAUUACCGAAGACCGAAAAACAAAUGCGAUGUGAUUGGAAGAUGUGAAGAUUAAUCAAUAACAAACGAGUCCAGCAGAUUUCUCAUAGGUGUUGACGAUGUGCUUGGGAUCAUGGCAGAAUUAUACUUCGCCGUCCACAUGGAACAAAUGUCAUCAUACAAUACAAAGGUCAGCCACAAAAUGACAAAUGAAAACAGAAAAUAUUUGAAGCGACUGCCGAAAUAUUGGUCUUUAUUCUGCACUUCAUGGAAUAUUCUCGCACUUUGCACGUCAGUUUGUAAAGCGAAGCCUCAUUCGACGUCAAUACCAGGAUGGUUUUGUUCCAUUCCACUUCAUGCAUUCGAGAGGAGAGUCCGCACGAAAAGAAACUAAAACUGCAAUGUCUAGGAAAGUGCCAGUCCCUCCUUUAUAUGCCAAAACAUGACCAAUCUUGCAGUCUUACAUAUCUACAAAAUGAAAAAAAAACAUAUCAUCCCAUUACCUCACUAACAAUCGACUUCUCAUCCCCGUAUCCGCCUUCAAAAAAAAUACCCAAGCGAACCAAUCAAUCGAACGAACCCACAAACAAGCAAACCACCGCGUCCCCCAAUUAGUAACGAGCCUCCCCUGCCCCAAACGAAGCCCGGGACGAAGCAGCCACUCGCAACCGCCGCCCGAGUCAAACUACCCAUCACUGCCCAACAAAGGAAACUACUUACUAACUUAACACGCAGUAAACUAGGUCUUUAUCUCUCUUAAUAACCGACUUCUCUCCGCCGUCCGCUCUCCCCACGUCCGCAUUUACGUAAGAUUGAAGAAAAAAAGAGAAUAAAAAUGGAGAAAUAUGCAACGCUGGCUGGAGAUCCACGCUGGCAGAGGGAGAACCGGGCGAGAGGUCUGGCAUUGCGCGGGAGUCGUGUGGAUUAGCGAACGCGGCCUGGAAACCACUUCUGAAAACACGCCGGAGGAGAAGGGAGAGCGUCAACUCGUGGAAGACAAAUCAGCUGUUUUCACGUUCUUACCUGCAAGGACAAAAGGGUUAUGUUAAUAUUUUACACAGGACCUGCCAGAUGUACCAAAGCGUCGGUUAGAAAUACAACUGAUAACAUCACUGAUAAGACGUUAUUAUAGCACUGAUAUGAUUGAUAGCAAUGAUAGCAGCAAUAAGGAUAAAACCUAGUAAUUUAGCGGAGGAGACCGGGCCCGUAUGUUCCCAGGCGCCAUAGGCCUAAGCAUCGACCAGAACCAUCGACUGCAACGAUGCCACAUAACCACUACGGCCCAUUCAACGGCCCCGCGAGUAAGCUAUUGCAAGCCCUUCAUUACAAAAGCAAAUAGCAGGAUGCUUCUCGCGUCCCCUUCCAGCCAGGCAAGCACGCCCACGAGCCGCCCCCAGCGCUGACACUCGGCGUAUGGACAAAGUUUGGCACCAUCCCUCAACAGACGCGCAGUUCCAACCGAAGAGGAAACUGCCGUUUGGCAAGAGCUGCGACAAGGCCAAGAGCAGCGCCUAAUCCCAGAUAUCGGCGCAGCGAAAGCCCGAGUUCACCUGAUCAAAUAAUUCUGAUAAGACAAGAUGUCGUAAUCAAUAACCCAGAGACGCGUACACCCUCUGAACCCCACUCCCCAACCCCACCCCACCGCUCGCAUUAGCGCGUCUGGCGGCGUCUGGCAACUCGUUCCCUCUCGCAGCGCUGACCUUGAAACACCAGCCGUUUCAUUACAAUUUCCAUCAAUACGCUUUGAUUAUCUUGCAAAGCGCCUUCCCUGUGAACGCACAACCACAUAAACCACCCUUAGAGGCACACACAACAGCCCAAAACAGACAGCCAGCGUCCUUCUGGCCUCCAAGAGAGAGCGAGGGAAAGAGGCAAAGACCUACGCUAAAAAUAACAUUGAUUCUGGCGCCAUCAGCUGGGUUGCCCUUGACCGUGGCUGCCGAAAUGCCGCAGCUUAUGGGAGGCGAGCGAGGGAGGCGGGAGGCCUAUGGCGCGGGCACAUGUUGCGUGCUUCUUGUCUCAGCUGUUGCUAGCGCCCGCUCCUCCUGGGGUGGGCGGCCGGCCUCUCCGGACUUCGCUUUGGGCUUGCAGGAGGGCGGACUCAGCCGCAGCGCUAUACGUCAUGACCAAGAGAGGUUUACGAAAAUUCUUUAAAACACAAUUGAACCGAUUUUUUUCAUCAUUAUUCAUACCGGACUUUAUUACUGUUUUUGCUACCAUAAGCAUCAUCACUGGACUCAUUGCUACAACUACCAUUGUCAUUAUCAUUGCUUAUCAUUGCUGUUUUCAUUACUACUACUUUUAACGAGGCUAGCUGCCAUUAUAACAUCAAUAAAAAUAAUAAUGAUAAAACAAUGGUAUUUUUCUUACUACCAUUAAAAAGCACUAUUAUUAUUGUAAUCAUCAUUAUUAUAUUACAAUGUUAUUAUUUAUUAU